UACACUCCUACGGGAGGCAGCAGUGGGGAAUUUUGGACAAUGGGCGAAAGCCUGAUCCAGCAAUGCCGCGUGUGUGAAGAAGGCCUUCGGGUUGUAAAGCACUUUUGUCCGGAAAGAAAUCCUUGGCUCUAAUACAGUCGGGGGAUGACGGUACCGGAAGAAUAAGCACCGGCUAACUACGUGCCAGCAGCCGCGGUAAUACGUAGGGUGCGAGCGUUAAUCGGAAUUACUGGGCGUAAAGCGUGCGCAGGCGGUUUGCUAAGACCGAUGUGAAAUCCCCGGGCUCAACCUGGGAACUGCAUUGGUGACUGGCAGGCUAGAGUAUGGCAGAGGGGGGUAGAAUUCCACGUGUAGCAGUGAAAUGCGUAGAGAUGUGGAGGAAUACCGAUGGCGAAGGCAGCCCCCUGGGCCAAUACUGACGCUCAGGCACGAAAGCGUGGGGAGCAAACAGGAUUAGAAACCCCGGUAGUCC
rnacentral:rRNA from 1 species